rnacentral:lncRNA from 1 species
UCUCCUCUAAUAUGAUCUGAGGUUGCGAGUGUUUUCUUCCUUCCUUCCUUCCUUUCUUCCUGUAACAAUUUAUUGUCUAAGUCUUUAAAAUAUAUAGAAUUGCUCCUACUUGAAUUGAAGCCGUAAUCGUUAGUCAUAUUUUUCAUUAUGUUCAAGAGUCUGCUUGCAUCUCUUGGCAGCAUGGUCAUGUCUCUGUCUUGGUUAAUAUGUUCAUGUCUCUUAGAGACAUCAUUUCUAAGAUGGAGCUUAACUGGAAGUUGGAAAUCACCUAAAAGGUGUGUGUGGUUAAUAUGUUGAAUGAACAUAUUAACCAAGGGUCUGCUUUCAAGAACUGUAGGAUUUGGCUAGUUACUGGUUCAGUUAUGUAAUCCAUUCACCCCCACAAGAUCUUACUGAAUAUCUCUCUAACUUUCUGGGACUAUUACACCAUUGCCUUGGGAGUGUAUGUGCAAAGAAUCCCCAGGUUUCUGUGACAUGGUACAUGUAAUGUUGCAAGCACCAAAUGUGCUUCACUUCAAAUAUCAAGGAACUCUUGGAGGAAAAAAAAAAUAACAAAUUGUCAACUAGAUGCUAGAAGAAAUAAAUGGUAUUGACAUCUUUUAGUAAUCAGUUUUAUUAUUUAAUAAAUAUUGAUGGCAAGUUUCACCAUCUACUGCGUUCCCAAUGAUGCUUGCUAGUUAAGUACCAGAGAGAGAGCUGGCCCUCUGUUUAGCCUGGCUGUCAUUUCAGUGAUGAAAGGAAAGGGACCUCAAUGCUAAGGUCCUAUUUGUUAAGUAUACACUGAUGCAAACCAGUCGAAGGCCUUACAAACUGGCUGCUUAAGAGCCAGACUUCUUUUUAAAUUAUCACAAAACACGUGGAUUCUUACAUACAGCUCCAGUCUGUGCUCGCCUCCCCCCCCUACACUUCACACUCAAGAUUUAUCACGAAUGAUAUUUCUGUCACCAAGACAUCUUCAGGGUCUGAGAUUGAAGAACUGUCUCAGUUGACAAGGCACUGACUUGAGUUCUUGUUGAGUGACACGUACUUCAAGGGCAGCAAAGCAAAACCCACACACCACUGGAUGACAGUGCAUCUUGCCUCCCUGGGCAUCAUUCACAAAGAACCCUUCAAAGUUGUACAUCUUUAUUUACCAAUACAAAUGUGCACUUUUGAAAUGUUAGAAUUUUUUUUGGCAUCAGCUAAUGAAUCCUAAAAGCUUAAUGUUCUAGUCCUAUUUGAACUAUUUUUCUUCCAUAUGUCAAGUCAAAAGACCUUAAAGUCUCUUUCACCUUAUCAAAUUAAAGUAUUUAGUGGUAUCCUUUCUUAAAGAAAUCAUAUCAUUACCUUUAAAACCAUGCAUUAUAGUCCAUUGAAGUAAGAGUUUAUAUAUAAUUGAUGGAGAGGCCUUUACAUCUUUGCAAAACGUGCAAGAAAAUAGAUUUAAUGAAGAUGAAAAGAGGUCAUUGUUUAUGGAAAUAGUCCAGAGCUUCUAGCAGUCACACCCAGAACAUUAGGUAAGAUCUAGAGGCAGUCCACUAAAUAAGGGGUUUCUCUGACAACAACGCAGGGACAAUAGCGACAAUCCCACCCCAACUUCUCUCUCCAAAUUCCAGCAUCCAAGUUCCGGUUUUCACACUGUGUCCUGUGGCAGUGGGCAACCUGGCUUUGGGUGUUAACACUGAGGGUGGUUUAAAAGGGUACAAAUAGGAUCCUGUCAGAUUGACAACUAACUGUUCUAAUGAGGAAAAAAUCCUCAAAGCAUGAAAUUUGAAUGAAAUGUGUGAUUAUAAUUCAAGUACUGUUUACACAAACCUCUGGGGACCUUCCGAAUAAAUGCAGAGCAAGUGAGUUAGACAAACCUCUGGGCCCUGUGGUCUGUGUGUGUGUGUGUGUGUGUGUGUGUGUGUUAGUGUGGGGGAAACUUUCCACCCUUAGCUAAGCCUCUACUCUUCAGUCCACUCCAGCCUUCCGUUGUCUAUUAAUACUGUAUGUGUUUUGUUACCGCGUUGAGUCGUAAGGAAAUAGGUGCUUUGCAUUAUUAAAGUUGAUUCUGAAGAGUAGAUGUGUGCUCAGUGGCAUUUGCCUCGGCAUAUGCAAAUGAUUUAGUUUCAUUUGGGAUCAAUUCCCAGAGGCCCUCCUUUCCUGUGGUGCUCUGAAUUUGGCAAGCUCAAGUCAGCCCAUCUUCCCCCCCUUCUUUCCUUUUUUUUUUUUAACUCCCCUUUUGUUAGUUGAUAUAUUUUUCAAAGGACAACAAAAAUAUUCCCCCUGCUUGGUAGAAACCUUGCAAUUCUAUUGUUCAGUGGUGAUCAAUGAAGGUGAAGGGAGGUUUUCGGUUUCCUAAAGUUUAGUAAAAUUUAAGUUUAC